AUUCACUUCGGUGAUGACGCUGGGAACGCGAGCGGCGGAUGGGUGAGUAACACGUGGGUAACCUGCCCUAAAGUCUGGGAUACCACUUGGAAACAGGUGCUAAUACCGGAUAACAACAAUAGCUGCAUGGCUAUUGCUUAAAAGGCGGCGAAAGCUGUCGCUAAAGGAUGGACCCGCGGUGCAUUAGCUAGUUGGUAAGGUAAUGGCUUACCAAGGCGACGAUGCAUAGCCGAGUUGAGAGACUGAUCGGCCACCUUGGGACUGAGACACGGCCCAAACUCCUACGGGAGGCAGCGGUAGGGAAUCUUCCACAAUGGGCGAAAGCCGGAUGGAGCAACGCCGCGUGUGUGAAGAAGGUUUUCGGAUCGAAAAGGUCUGUUGUUGGUGAAGAAGGAUAGAGGUAGUAACUGGC
rnacentral:rRNA from 1 species